CUAUUUGCAGGAGUGAAUUAUUAAUGAUCAAAAUCUGUCCGGUUGCGGUAAGCUUGUGGGCUGCUGCUGUUAUUGGAAGCUGGUGCAAUUUUUGACUGUUUUGUACAUUUGUUUUGUUGCAGCCCAUACAUUACCAGUCCUGUAUGAGAGACAUGACGAGCAAAUAGAUGGCUUUGUUUACAAUAUGUUUGAAAAGCUUCAAAAUCACUAUAAAAAGUUGGAUUCUGGUGUUCUGAGCAAGAUCCCCAAGGGACAGUUCAAGCUUAAGAAGCAUGACUAGGUGUAUUUGGUUACUCUCAUUACAUCUAUAGAGUUCAUGUAGCAUACCCUCUUACAGUUGGGAUCUGAUAUAUAUUCUCAAGCACUUGAAUAACUGAUGUUAUAUUUUUGUGACAUUAUCCGUUUGGAUAUUGGAAAUAUCUUUGCCAAGCUCAUCUGCUUGGUUUAUUGAUGA